rnacentral:tRNA from 1 species
GUUCGUUUCGUCGUAGCUAACUGGAUAACGCAAUUGCUUUUAAAGAGAACGGUGCUGGGUUCGAGUCCCAGAGUGAAC